rnacentral:rRNA from 1 species
UACGUAGGGUCCGAGCGUUGUCCGGAAUUAUUGGGCGUAAAGAGCUCGUAGGCGGUUUGUCGCGUCUGCUGUGAAAUCCCGAGGCUCAACCUCGGGCCUGCAGUGGGUACGGGCAGACUGGAGUGCGGUAGGGGAGAAUGGAAUUCCUGGUGUAGCGGUGAAAUGCGCAGAUAUCAGGAAGAACACCAAUAGCGAAGGCAGCUCGCUGGGACGUUACUGACACUGAGGCGCGAAAGCGUGGGGAGCGAACAGG